ACAACCGAGGUGCAAAGGCUGUCGCUGACCCUCAAAGGUUGUGCACGCCCGAGCGCUCUCACACAAUCCAUCUCACCUUUGUGCAUCACCGCGUGGGUCCCCUUUGCGGGAGGGCUCGCGUUUUCACAUAAUAACUCGAUACAGUGUAGAAUGUUUCUUUUGCGGUCACACGCAAUCAAUACAACUUUCAACAACGGAUCUCUUGGCUCUCGCAUCGAUGAAGAACGCAGCGAAAUGCGAUACGUAAUGUGAAUUGCAGAAUUCAGUGAAUCAUCGAAUCUUUGAACGCACCUUGCGCCCCUUGGCAUUCCGAGGGGCACACCCGUUUGAGUGUCGUGAAUUCUUCAAAACCCUUUUUUCUUCGAACCAUCGUGGUCGGGAAAAGGAUUUUUGGACUUGGAGGUUUAAUGCUCGCCCUUUCUUUUGNNNCGAGCUCCUCUCAAAUGAAUUAGUGGGGUCCGCUUUGCUGAUCCUUGACGUGAUAAAAUGUUUCUACGUUUUGGGUUUAGCACUGUCGCUUGGNUGCCUGCUCCUAACCCGUCUCAUUGACAAUGAUGGUGCUCUGGUCACUGCCGUCUACAUCGGCGGGAGGCUGGACCCACAAAAANAAAAACCUUGA
rnacentral:rRNA from 1 species